GUGAGGAAUAUUGGACAAUGGGCGCAAGCCUGAUCCAGCCAUGCCGCGUGCAGGAAGACGCAUCUAUGGUGUGUAAACUGCUUUUGUACGGGAAGAAACACUCCCUCGUGAGGGAGCUUGACGGUACCGUAAGAAUAAGGAUCGGCUAACUCCGUGCCAGCAGCCGCGGUAAUACGGAGGAUCCAAGCGUUAUCCGGAAUCAUUGGGUUUAAAGGGUUCGUAGGCGGUUUAAUAAGUCAGUGGUGAAAGCCCAUCGCUCAACGAUGGAACGGCCAUUGAUACUGUUAGACUUGAAUUACAAGGAAGUAACUAGAAUAUGUAGUGUAGCGGUGAAAUGCUUAGAUAUUACAUGGAAUACCAAUUGCGAAGGCAGGUUACUACUUGUGGAUUGACGCUGAUGGACGAAAGCGUGGGGAGCAAACAGGAUUAGAUACCCUAGUAGUCC
rnacentral:rRNA from 1 species